UCAACAUUGGAACAAAAUGAA
rnacentral:piRNA from 1 species